rnacentral:lncRNA from 1 species
GUUUUUUUGAUGCUGCUGCUUAGAUCACUUAAUGUUCUUCUGCUAUUGGUUGCAAUCCUUGUCCACUAGUCCUUUUAAGACACAAACAUGUGAUUUUAUUUGGGAACCUCUACUGGCUUUUGAUAAGCAAAUAUCAUUACAGAUGCUGUCAUUGGCAAAUCAUGGCACAUCUUCCUAUGCAGUCCUUUCAGAGAGUAUCAGUCUAUCACCAAUAUUAGACUACAGCAGCUUUGCUGCUGUGACAAAUUUUAAAUUAAAUUUUUAAAAGCGCAGGAAGAUAAUGAUUUCCAAUAAAUACUGUGAAAUUCACUUCCUAUGGUAGUAAAAGACACACAAGUUACAACGCACUAAAAUUUAUACGUUUGCUGCGAUUCACCUUUAAGGAACGCAAGAGGAGGAUUCAUAGCUCUUUUUGAAGUCUGACAUGUCUGGGAGAUUUGCUUGUGUAUGUAGUUUUCCUGCAGUAAACCAAUCUACUGGACAGGGAUGGGAAUAUUGUGCCUUUGAUAGCACGGGUGAUGAAGAUAUCUUGGGGGAACUUUACACUUGGCAGCUGCAUUUAAAAGUAGCAGACCCCACCUUUCAAAGAGAAAGAAAGACCAUCUUUAAAAGCCCUAACAUCAUAUUUAAGAUCCUCUCCACACCAGGCUUAUUUUGCUUGCCUUCUGGCUUUUUUUCCUCCAUGGGAAAGGAAUAUCUCUUUUGACAGAAAGACCCCCAACAAGCCUGAAUGAGAAGGCUGGUUCUUA